UACAGAGGUCUCAAGCGUUGUUCGGAUUCAUUGGGCGUAAAGCGCGUGUAGGCUGCUCUGCAAGUCGGGUGUGAAAGCCCCGGGCUCAACCUGGGAAGUGCACUCGAAACUGCAGAGCUCGAGUCCUGGAGAGGAAGGCGGAAUUCUCGGUGUAGAGGUGAAAUUCGUAGAUAUCGAGAGGAACACCGGUGGCGAAGGCGGCCUUCUGGACAGUGACUGACGCUGAGACGCGAAAGCGUGGGGAGCAAACAGG
rnacentral:rRNA from 1 species